GACUAACGCUGGCGGCGUGCCUAACACAUGCAAGUCGAGCGGGAACCUCAGGAGGGGUAUCCCUCCUGCGGGGAGAGCGGCGAACGGGUGAGUAACACGUGGGCAACCUGCCCCGGACACCGGGAUAACCCAGGGAAACCUGAGCUAAUACCGGAUACUCCGGCGAGAUCGCAUGGUCGCGCCGGGAAAGCUCCGACGGUCCGGGAUGGGCCCGCGGCCUGUCCGCUUGUUGGUGGGGUAACGGCCCACCAAGGCGACGACGGGUAGCUGGUCUGAGAGGACGGCCAGCCACAGUGGCACUGAGACACGGCCGAGACUCCUACGGGAGGCAGCAGUGGGGGAUCUUGCGCUAAUGCGCGAAAGCGUGACGCAGCGGCGCCGCGUGGGGGAUGGAGGCCCUCGGGUUGUAAACCCCUUUCGGCAGGGACGAAGCGAAAGUGACGGUACCUGCAGAAGAAGUCCCGGCUAACUACGUGCCAGCCGCCGCCGUAAGAC
rnacentral:rRNA from 1 species